rnacentral:rRNA from 1 species
AUUGAACGCUGGCGGCAUGCCUUACACAUGCAAGUCGAACGGCAGCACGGGGCAACCUGGUGGCGAGUGGCGAACGGGUGAGUAAUGCAUCGGAACGUACCUUUCAGUGGGGGAUAACGUAGCGAAAGUUACGCUAAUACCGCAUAUUCUGUGAGCAGGAAAGCAGGGGAUCGCAAGACCUUGCGCUGAUUGAGCGGCCGAUGUCAGAUUAGCUAGUUGGUGAGGUAAAGGCUCACCAAGGCGACGAUCUGUAGCGGGUCUGAGAGGAUGAUCCGCCAAACUGGAACUGAGACACGGUCCAGACUCCUACGGGAGGCAGCAGUGGGGAAUUUUGGACAAUGGGGGCAACCCUGAUCCGGCCAUGCCGCGUGAGUGAAGAAGGCCUUCGGGUUGUAAAGCUCUUUCGGCCGGGAAGAAAUCGCACGGGCUAAUACCCUGUGUGGAUGACGGUACCGGAAUAAGAAGCACCGGCUAACUACGUGCCAGCAGCAGCCGUAACAC